UACGAAGGGGGCUAGCGUUGCUCGGAAUCACUGGGCGUAAAGCGCACGUAGGCGGUCUUUUAAGUCAGGGGUGAAAUCCUGGAGCUCAACUCCAGAACUGCCUUUGAUACUGAGAGACUUGAGUCCGGGAGAGGUGAGUGGAAUUCCGAGUGUAGAGGUGAAAUUCGUAGAUAUUCGGAAGAACACCAGUGGCGAAGGCGACUCACUGGACAGGUAUUGGACGCUGAGGUGCGAAAGCGUGGGGAGCAAACAGG
rnacentral:rRNA from 1 species